rnacentral:lncRNA from 1 species
UCCAACAUGGCGACGGUGACGUGCACACCACCUAUACGAGCUGUUGUAGUUCGCACAACGGCCCAUGUCUAGCUUCCAAAGGAACAAACCAUUCGAAAAGUAAUGGGUAGGGGGAUGUGUGGAAAAACUAAAACAAAAUUUAAAUUUAGAAAAAAUAUCCUGCGGAAGCAAAAGAGGGUGGAAAGUGGUAGUUCCAGCUAAAAUUAUAGAUGGGAAAAUUUCCCUAACUUGGUGAGUAUGAACUCUAAUAACAACAUUCUGACAAAACCAAGAACAACUUUAAUAACAAUAUCGCCAAAAUAAAUAAUCUUUCUCAUAUGAUACAAAAUAUAACACAAUUUGCCAAUAUAUUAUAGUAUAUCUGUUUCUUAUUUUCUGCGUUAACUGUCCGAUAUGUAUACACACGAAUCAACACUCACUUCC